UUUGAAGCAAUUAUGCUCGGAGCGUUUCAGCGACUGUCUCUCUAGUAGGGAGGCUCCUUGGCUGUUUAUAUUCAAGAUGAAAGGCUCCAGGUUAACAUUUCCCUCACAGGAAAUUCAUUCAAACCGUGUUCAGUGGGGGGAGGCUGUCGAGAUGUAUCAGGAGUGACAAAUCUCAGUCAGAAAUAGAGCCCUGGGUGGACUGUCUGAUCGCUGUGGGCCGGGGGUGGAAGGCGCGGAGCUGGAGGGCAAGUGGCUGCCCAGCCUGCCGUCUGAGGAUCUGUUCGUGAAAGCGUCCUGCUCACUGGACCUGCUUCCUCGAGAAGCUGUUCUUGGCCAAAGGACCGUCCAAGCAGUUUCCCGGAGUCCAGCUCGGUGUCCGUGGGCGGGAGCCUGGGAGCCGAGGGAGGGCUGGCCCGAGACCACACGGGGGACGCCUGCCUGGCCCUCCCAGGCUGCUUCUGCGCUCCGGUUUACAAGACGACGGUGAGUUCCUGGGCGCAGAGGCAGCGUCGUCUCCCCGGGGUUGCUGGGGCCUGUUCAGCCUCAGGGAGGGGAGCCGGGGUGCUGGUGAGCUUCCUCUCCAGGCAUUACUGAAAUCGCUCGCAGCUCUUCCUGCCCGAUGCGAGCUGGAGGGAAGACUGCCAACUUCUGUCUUUCUGGAAAAUCCAUUUUGUGAGCGUCUGGUUCUGACCCACUCGUGGACACGGCUGUAAGCGGCUUCGUCAGUUGAACGAUUUUCUGUCUCUGAACAGAGAAAACAGUCUGAGGACAGGUGAGUGAGGGGGGGAGGGGACGGGGCUGGUCACACCCACCCAGGGCUCCCUUUGUAAAAGCCGGAUACCUCCCGGAGCCUGAAAGCCCGGGGACUCUGUCUUUGCUGAAGCGAAGUGACCAGAAGCCACAGCGUUGCUUUUGUGGGAGAAAGGAUCCCACGACUUUCCCACGCCUUCUCUCAGCUUGCUUUUUCCUUCAGCAAAUGGCCCCAGAGCAGGUGCGCCCGGCAGGGAGAAGCAGCCCCCUCACCCUGGGGUGCUCAGCAGGGAGGGGUGACCCUGCAGUAACGAGGCGGAGGUGGCUUAGGCCCUGAUGCC
ensembl:lncRNA